rnacentral:rRNA from 1 species
CAGGUGCUGCAUGGCUGUCGUCAGCUCGUGUCGUGAGAUGUUGGGUUAAGUCCCGCAACGAGCGCAACCCUCGCCUUUAGUUGCCAUCACGUUUGGGUGGGCACUCUAGAGGAACUGCCGGUACAAGCCGGAGGAAGGUGGGGAUGACGUCAAGUCCUCAUGGCCCUAUGUCCUGGGCAACACACGUGCUACAAUGGCGGUGACAGUGGGAAGCUAGGUCACGAGGCCGUGCUGAUCUCUAAAACCGUCUCAUUCAGAGUCACUCUGCAACUCGAGUGCAUGAAGGUGGAAUCGCUAGUAAUCGCGGAUCACAUCCGCGGGAUACGUUCCCGGGGCCUGUACACACCGCCCGUCACACCAU